rnacentral:rRNA from 1 species
CGAGCACGCGCGUGUGGCAUAUCAAUAAGCGGAGGAAAAGUAAACUAACAAGGAUUCCCUUAGUAACGGCGAGUGAAGCGGGAAGAGCUCAAAUUUGAAAUCUUCAAGGUUCUACCUUGACGAAUUGUAGUUUAUAGAAGUGUUUUCUGUUAGUGGAGUGGCAAAAUGUUCUUUGGAAUAGGACAUCAUAGAGGGUGAGAAUCCCGUAUUUGGUCAUUCCUCCUAGCGUUGUGAUACACUUUCAACGAGUCGGAUUGUUUGGGAAUGCAGUCCAAAAUGGGUGGUAAAUUUCAUCUAAAGCUAAAUAUUGGCGAGAGACCGAUAGCGAACAAGUACCGUGAGGGAAAGAUGAAAAGAACUUUGAAAAGAGAGUUAAACAGUACGUGAAAUUGUCAAAAGGGAAGCGUUUGACACCAGUGUUGUUUUUCCGAAAGUCAAUUACGAAUGUUUUGUUUUUAAGGAGUUAUGACUUCAUCGGCUUGCUUCUUUCUUUAUGAAACUUUCUUAAUGCACUUUUCGGUUAACAAGUCAACAUCAAUUUCUUUUGUUGUAAAAGGGUAUGAGGAAGGUGGCUUUCUUUUCGGAGAAAGUGUUUAUAGCCUUGUGCCUCUGCAAUCGGAGAGAUUGAGGUCUGCAGCGUAGAUCCUUCGGGGUUAGAUACGUUUGUGCUAAGUUAUAGCUUUUCAUAGACAACUUGUUGACUAUGUUUAGUCUUGUAGCUUACUCGCUGACGCUAUUUUACCUACGCUUAGGAUGUUGAGUAGCGACAUACGCAC